GAUGAACGCUGGCGGCGUGCUUAACACAUGCAAGUCGAACGGAAAGGCCCUGCGUUUGUGGGGUGCUCGAGUGGCGAACGGGUGAGUAACACGUGAGUAACCUGCCCUUGACUUUGGGAUAACUCCAGGAAACUGGGGCUAAUACCGGAUAGGAGCUCCUGCUGCAUGGUGGGGGUUGGAAAGUUUCGGCGGUUGGGGAUGGACUCGCGGCUUAUCAGCUUGUUGGUGGGGUAGUGGCUUACCAAGGCUUCGACGGGUAGCCGGCCUGAGAGGGUGAGCGGCCACAUUGGGACUGAGAUACGGCCCAGACUCCUACGGGAGGCAGCAGUGGGGAAUAUUGCACAAUGGGCGGAAGCCUGAUGCAGCGACGCCGCGUGCGGGAUGACGGCCUUCGGGUUGUAAACCGCUUUCGCCUGUGACGAAGCGUGAGUGACGGUACUUGGUCAAGAAGCACCGGCUAACUACGUG
rnacentral:rRNA from 1 species